rnacentral:rRNA from 1 species
GAUGAACGCUGGCGGCGUGCCUAAUACAUGCAAGUCGAGCGAACAGACGAGGAGCUUGCUCCUCUGACGUUAGCGGCGGACGGGUGAGUAACACGUGGAUAACCUACCUAUAAGACUGGGAUAACUUCGGGAAACCGGAGCUAAUACCGGAUAAUAUAUUGAACCGCAUGGUUCAAUAGUGAAAGACGGUUUUGCUGUCACUUAUAGAUGGAUCCGCGCCGCAUUAGCUAGUUGGUAAGGUAACGGCUUACCAAGGCAACGAUGCGUAGCCGACCUGAGAGGGUGAUCGGCCACACUGGAACUGAGACACGGUCCAGACUCCUACGGGAGGCAGCAGUAGGGAAUCUUCCGCAAUGGGCGAAAGCCUGACGGAGCAACGCCGCGUGAGUGAUGGAGAUCUUCGGAUCGUAAAACUCUGUUAUUAGGGAAGAACAAAUGUGUAAGUAACUAUGCACGUCUUGACGGUACCUAAUCAGAAAGCCACGGCUAACUACGUG